rnacentral:rRNA from 1 species
AGUCGAGGGGCAUCACAGGUAGCAAUACUGGGUGGCGACCGGCAAACGGGUGCGGAACACGUACGUAACCUUCCUUUAAGUGGGAGAUAGCCCGAAGAAAUUCGGAUUAAUACCCCAUAAGAUUGUGGAGUGGCAUCACUCAGCAAUUAAAGAAUUUCGCUUAAAGAUGGGCGUGCGGCUGAUUAGGUAGUUGGUGAGGUAACGGCUCACCAAGCCAACGAUCAGUAACUGGCGUGAGAGCGCGACCAGUCACACGGGCACUGAGACACGGGCCCGACUCCUACGGGAGGCAGCAGUAAGGAAUAUUGGUCAAUGGACGCAAGUCUGAACCAGCCAUGCCGCGUGAAGGAUGAAGGUCCUCUGGAUUGUAAACUUCUUUUAUAUGGGAAGAAACCACUCUUAUCUAUAGGUGUUGACGGUACCAUAGGAAUAAGCACCGGCUAACUCCGUGCCAGCAGCCGCGGUAAUACGGAGGGUGCAAGCGUUAUCCGGAUUCACUGGGUUUAAAGGGUGCGUAGGCGGAUUAGUAAGUCCGUGGUGAAAUCUCCGAGCUUAACUCGGAAACUGCCGUGGAUACUAUUAUUCUUGAAUACUGUGGAGGUUAGCGGAAUAUGUCAUGUAGCGGUGAAAUGCAUAGAUAUGACAUACAACACCAAUUGCGAAGGCAGCUGGCUACACAGAGAUUGACGCUGAUGCACGAGAGCGUGAGGAUCAAACAGGAUUAGAUACCCUGGUAGUCCACGCCCUAAACGAUGAUUACUCGACAUUUGCGAUAUACAGUGAAGUGUCUGAGCGAACGCAUUAAGUAAUCCACCUGGGAAGUACGACCGCAAGGUUGAACUCAAGGAAUUGACGGGGGUCCGCACAAGCGAUGGAGCAUGUGGUUUAAUUCGAUGAUACGCGAGGAACCUUACCUGGGCUAGAAUGCUGGUGGACUGGAUCUGAAAGGUCCUUGU